AUGCAUCCACACACGCACACACACACACAUCCACACACACACACACAUCCACAUGCACACACACAUCCACACACGCACACACACAUCCACACACGCACGUCCACACACACACAUCCACACACACACAUCCACACACACACACACACGCACGUCCACACACACAUCCACAUGCACACAUGCAUCCACAUGCACACACACAUCCACACACGCACACACACAUCCACACACGCACGUCCACACACACACAUCCACACACACACAUCCACACGCACACACACACGCACGUCCACACACACAUCCACACGCAUGCACACAUCCACAUGCACACACACAUCCACACGCACACACACACAUCCACAUGCACACACACAUCCACACACGCACACACACAUCCACACACACACAUCCACGUGCACACACACAUCCACACGCACACACACACAUCCACACACACACAGACACACACGCACACGCACACAGUUCCCCCUGAAGUUAUCACAGACUUUCUCAGGAAAGGGGAUGCCCAGCUUGCGAUGUCUGAAAAGUCUCAUGGCGGCUUCCACCGCCAAUAAACCGCAUGUCAGUAACUCUAAAAGUCGAUGGAAAAUGGAAUCCAGAGACGAGUUUCUUUUGGGGAAACAUGUCCAUGCCCACGCACAGGUUUUCAGAGCACACAGUCUCCAUCAACUUGUGAGGCGCUGUGGAUUCACACGGAUCAGCUGGCCUUACCCAGCAGGUACUGUUAGUGCACGCCCUACUGAUGGGUUCCGAUCUGUCUACUUCUCAUCUCUGAGGCUUGUGUUACUCAUUUACUUUUCCAUCUAUCUGGAAGGCAGAACUCCGUCCUGGUCUCCCACGUGGGGGGCGGGCCCGAGCACCCGGCCCUCAUCCACUCCUCCUUGGAGCAGGGAGCUGCUCAGAAGAGGCGGCGCUGGGACUCCCCUGGAUCCGAUACGGGACGUGGCUGUCCCGAGGGGUGGCUUCUCCCACUGCCCCACCACGCCUGCCUCUCUGUCUCCUACUUCAUGA
rnacentral:lncRNA from 1 species